UGCCAGUAGUCAUAUGCUUGUCUUAAAGAUUAAGCCAUGCAUGUCUAAGUAUAAGCAAUUAUACAGCGAAACUGCGAAUGGCUCAUUAAAUCAGUUAUCGUUUAUUUGAUAGUACCUUACUACAUGGAUAACCGUGGUAAUUCUAGAGCUAAUACAUGCUGAAAACCCCGACUUCGGAAGGGGUGUAUUUAUUAGAUUAAAAACCAAUGCCCUCCGGGGCUCACUGGUGAUUCAUGAUAACUUCUCGAAUCGCACGGCCUUGCGCCGGCGAUGGUUCAUUCAAAUUUCUGCCCUAUCAACUUUCGACGGCUGGGUCUUGGCCAGCCGUGGUGACAACGGGUAACGGAGGGUUAGGGCUCGACCCCGGAGAAAACGCCUGAGAAACGGCGUUUACAUCCAAGGAAGGCAGCAGGCGCGCAAAUUACCCAAUGCCGACACGGCGAGGUAGUGACGAGAAAUACUGAUACAGGGCUCUUUUGGGUCUUGUAAUUGGAAUGAGUACAAUUUAAAUCUCUUAACGAGGAACAAUUGGAGGGCAAGUCUGGUGCCAGCAGCCGCGGUAAUUCCAGCUCCAAUAGCGUAUA
rnacentral:rRNA from 1 species